GCGAGGGGAGCUCGGUUUGAGGGCGGAGGGUGGUGUGGGUGCUGCUCUCAACGAGCGGGGCGAUGCCCCCUGCCCUCAGAGGCCGAGGCUGCUGCUGGGCCCACACCGCUGCCUCAGCAAACGUAACAUCGAGCGAUUGUAUCCGCAGCCGGUCGGAGAAAUGACGGAGGGAAGCUCAGGAACCCUGAAGAGUUCAACCCCACCAUUGAGCGCCGGCUGAUUUCAAAAGAACACCAAAAUGCUCGGUCCAAAAGUUAACGAACAUCGAUGUUUUGCUUUGCCUUGUUGUUAAACGAGCCGACAGUUGCAUAAUUAAGCCUCUUCUCUUACCAAAGGGCCAAAAGCGUAAUGCCUGGUAACUGAGGAGAUGUAAAGCGGGGCCCUCUGAACACACACAUUGCACCCAAAGUGGUGGGAUCCUGUCAGAUGGCAAAGCUUGCUCCUAAUGAAGGAGCUCUGGGGCUGGCUGCAGCCAUGCUGACUGGCUUACACCAGGGAUUAAUUGGAGCUGUUUUGCUUUCCCUCUUUAAAAUGGAAGGUGAAAAAUAAACUGAGCGUGCCUACACAUCUGGCCAUCAAGAGAUUUAAUCUUAGAGCUUUGUUCUCCACAACCGCAUACGACCCAACUUCCAGCUCCUUUGGUUCUUGAUGUGAUGCUGGGCCGUACCCAUCUGAACAACAAAGCCAUUAACCCUUUGGGACUGGUGCCAUCUCAUUGGGAAAUCGUGUUCCUGUGAUUAACUCAUGCAAAUACACUGAAGCCCCCUUUGCCUGCUUUUUAACACUGCUCCCUGGUGCUGAGGGGUUGAGAUUGGCACAGAUAGCAAACACAUCUUUGAGCAGUUGUGUGAAGAAUGCUGCCUUUGCAGGCAUUGCCUAGGAAAGAUCGGAUGAGCUGCUCUCCUUGUGUUCUGGAAAUCAGCUUUUUCUGUCAUUGAACACAUUGCUCGAAGUCCUUGUGCUCCUAUGGAAGACUGUGUAAGGAUUCAUAUAUGCAGUAGGAGGGUAUAUGUUGUUAUGAAUUGCAGAAAAAAUGAAGGAAAACCGUGUGAGUGUUGUGGUUCUUCCUAACGCAAUGGGAAAAUGCCCGUGUCACAGGAAAACCUGCCCAGCCCUGUACAUAAUGCUGAUGUUCCACAAACAACUUUGAUGCUUUGCUCUCAUCUGUGGAGCUUCGUAUGGGGAGAAGCUGUUCAUCUUUAAGCCCACACAGUCACCGCUAGGAUCAGAAGAGAAAAGAACCUCCUGUGUGAAAGCUUCAGGUCCUGAUGACAGCUCGAAUCCCCGUGUCUCCAUAUGAUCUCAGUGAAAUGUGCAAACAAUCACUGUGCGAAUAGUUGGAAGGCAAAGGGAAUUGCUGGGAUUCUGGAGAAAGCAGGAUGUGAGGCUUUAUUUCUUUUCUGUGUACAGAUCUGUUCAUAAAUGUCCACUACAAACUUGCUGUUUGCUCUCAUUUAAACUUUCACUUCAGCGCGCUGAAGCUAAAUGCUUUUGUUAAGUUAAAGCAUAUUUAUGAACUCAAAGGCUUCCUCAUAUUUGCAUUAAAAUAUUUCAGUCCUUUGGAUCCUCCCAGGAUAUGGAUCUUUGAGGGCUCACAGGGCAAACCACCAUUCCCAGCUCCCUCAUGAAAUCAAAUACCAGGCCCGAAUGCAGGUAUAGCCCCUUCAGCCACACAUGUACCUUAUUCAGAUAUACCCAUUCCCAAACACUAUAUGAUGAAGUUAUGUCGUUUUCACAUUGAGAAUGUAUGAGCUUUCACCACCUGACUGUCAGCGCUUGUGGGGUGGGGAGAGGAAAUGUAAAAAUACAGCUCCAGACUCAGGAUAAAUAAUAAGUUUUCUCUGACAGGGACUGUCGGACAAGCUGAGACAAGAGUUAAUUUUCCUGUGGUUUUUCCUGGUGUUUAACUCUAUGUAAAGCAGAUGCAAAGCCACUGGAGAAUGACUACAGGAAGACAAGUGGGUCUGUGCAACUUAAAAGUUUGCCUGCUGUGAGUGAAAAAAAAAACAACAACUACCAGUAAGGAGAAUUUGUCACACACUGUUAGGCCAAAGGUUCGUGGCCAUCACAACCAGCUGUGUGGCACAUAUUGUUAGACCGUCACCAUCAAACCUUCUGUCCUGGACAGGCAUGAGCAUGCAACUGCAUUUGAGCUGGUUUUGCCAGAGGCCACGGUGCUGGGUUUUCUGGUGGUUUUGUGCUUUUGGGCUACCUUUAUGGUGCCUUGUUGGAGGAUAGAUGCUGCCUGAAGCGGCAGCUAAGGUGUGUAGAUGACAAUGUUCGUGACCUGGCUAUGUGAGUUUGUAUUGGCCAUGCAUUUGGUUUCAUGCAGGCGCACUGUCUGGCUCUCAUAUGUGUCCAUGUGUCACCCCUGAGUGGCAUUGGAGACAUCUGUGCUGCAUGGGCUGCACCAGCCUUUAGUUUUACCAUUUUGGCUUCUUUUCCCAGGAAAAUAAAGACUUGUAAGGAAAUCCUGCCAACUUCAUCAUACUGCCCUAUUGCUUGUAAGACCACUAGAUUUGAAGCCCUCUCUAGAGCAGCACAAAUGCCUUCACAUUUUCCUCACAGUAGAAUACUAUCAUAGUCGCUAAUUCUACUCGAGACGGGACCUACAAGAGGUAUGGCAGUAAAAGACCAUUAACUUAUAUGCAGAAGUUUUCAUAUCCACAUAUAAAUAUACAUAUAUAUACAUAUAAAUAUCCCUAUGCACACAAUUUAAAAUAGAUGAAUUAAAAUUACACACACCAUAGUUCUCACAUGGAGUCCACUUCUGUGCCCAGUCAAAUUGAGUUAGUAAUCUUACACAUAUAGAUUGAGGCUUAACAUGUAUGAACUCAGAUUGCGUGUAUGUGAAUGUAUUUUUCUGUGCUACUGCAAAUUCUUUUCACAUUGGCUGAGUGAUCCCAAGAAAUCCACAAUCCUUACACUGAAAAUUACCUUUCAAAUGCUUCGCUAUGUGAAGGACAAGUCUGAAUUCUGCUCCUUCAGCUUCAGUGACAGCUAAUUUGUCCACUGUGCAAUGCUCUUCAAGUUCUCCUGUAUGUAGGGCCUAAGGAGAGAUGAUUAAUAUAUAUUCUUUGUGCGAUAAGAUUAGAUUUGGCUUGAAAGUGAUGUGCUGAGAUACGCCACAUUUUACAUGUCUGUAAAUGGUUUGACUUUUGGUUUAAUUCGGCUUUCUCUGGCUUUUUGACUAUGUUCCUUUUGCUAAAAAUAAUGUGGGGAGAGAGGAACAGUUCAACUGUGAGCUAUUCUUCUGAACACUGGUUGUUUUGCCAUCCCACCAAUGUCAUCUGGCAUUAAUUAACAUAGUGUCUUGCUAAUUACACUGUCAGCAUACAGCCACUAAAUUCAAAUACAAAGAGAAUUGUUAAAAUGUCCCGAUUUAACUUUGGUAUUUCUUUUAAA